rnacentral:rRNA from 1 species
AGCGAACGCUGGCGGCAUGCUUAACACAUGCAAGUCGCACGGUCAGCAAUGUCAGUGGCGGACGGGUGAGUACCGCGUAGGAACGUGUCCUGAGGUGGGGGACAACCCCGGGACACUGGGGCUAAUACCGCAUAUGGGCUGAGGCCCAAGGCCGAGGGGCGCGUUUGGAGCGGCCUGCGUCCGAAUGGGUAGUUGGUGGGGUAAGGGCCUACCAAGGGUGCGAUCGGUAGCUGGUUAGAGAGGACGGCCAGCGACACUGGAACUAGGACACGGUCGAGAAUCUUACGCAAUGGAGCAAAGGGGAAUAUAGGAAAACGGCGGAAAGGAUGAAGGAGCUAGGACGGGAGAGUGCUGUAGGUCGGGGGGACGGAAAGCCCUUUCGACGGGUACGAUGAUGACGGUACCCGUAGAAGAAGCCCCGGCUAACUUCGUG